rnacentral:tRNA from 1 species
GAAAAAUUAGUUAAAUAAUAACAUUAUUAUGUCAAAAUAAAAUUAUUCAUCUGAAUAUUUUUCU